rnacentral:ncRNA from 1 species
AUAAUUGCGAUGAUGAGAAGAGUAAAUUACACAAAACUACAAGAGAGAAUUCCCCUUGGGUGUAAGGGAGUUUUGGUGGGAGGUAAUUGAAGUGCAUCUUUGAGCACUGAGUUGAAUCUUAGUAGAUUUCAGCGUGUACGUACGUUAAAACGUUGAGGUAUGAUUGUACCAAUAAAGAGUUUUCACAUGUAAACUUGUAUUUAUAUAGUUUUUAUAAAGUUUAUAUGGGAUAAACAGAGUGGAACCGCGGAAGUAACCUUCUGCCUCUGUA